GUACAAGCUGGAUCAUUAUCUCUGCAUGAUGUUGCAGAAGUGAGAGGAACCAGAUUUGCUAAAGUAACUAUGAUGAUGGAAAUGUGUUAGCCUCAGAAGCUACAGAGGUGGUCCAUUCUAACCUAGUACAGUG